rnacentral:rRNA from 1 species
GGGGAAUCUUCCGCAAUGGGCGAAAGCCUGACGGAGCAACGCCGCGUGAGGGAUGAAGGCCUCUGGGCUGUAAACCUCUUUUAUCAAGGAAGAAGAUCUGACGGUACUUGAUGAAUAAGCCACGGCUAAUUCCGUGCCAGCAGCCGCGGUAUACGGGAGUGGCAAGCGUUAUCCGGAAUUAUUGGGCGUAAAGCGUCCGCAGGCGGCCUUUCAAGUCUGCUGUUAAAGCGUGGAGCUUAACUCCAUUAUGGCAGUGGAAACUGAUCGGCUUGAGUAUGGUAGGGGCAGAGGGAAUUCCCGGUGUAGCGGUGAAAUGCGUAGAUAUCGGGAAGAACACCAGUGGCGAAGGCGCUCUGCUGGGCCAUUACUGACGCUCAUGGACGAAAGCCAGGGGAGCGAAAGGG